rnacentral:rRNA from 1 species
UACAGAGGGGGGCAAGCGUUAUUCGGAAUUAUUGGGCGUAAAGGGCGCGUAGGCGGCUAUGCAAGUGACGGGUGAAACCCCUCGGCUUAACCGAGGAACUGCCCGUUAGACUGGAUGGCUUGAGACCGGGAGAGGUGAGUGGAAUUCCCAGUGUAGCGGUGAAAUGCGUAGAUAUUGGGAGGAACACCAGUGGCGAAGGCGGCUCACUGGACCGGUACUGACGCUGAGGCGCGAAAGCGUGGGGAGCAAACAGG